AUCAUCUGGGGAUCUUGUUAUAAUGCCAGUUCUGAUUCAGAAAGUUUGGAAUGGUGCCUGAGAUUGUGCAUUUCUAACAAGCUCCCAGGUGCUGC
rnacentral:pre_miRNA from 1 species